rnacentral:rRNA from 1 species
CCUACGGGAGGCAGCAGUGGGGAAUAUUGGACAAUGGGGGGAACCCUGAUCCAGCCAUGCCGCGUGUGUGAAGAAGGCCCUCGGGUUGUAAAGCACUUUCAGUGAGGAAGAACGCCUGGUGGUUAAUACCCAUCAGGAAAGACAUCACUCACAGAAGAAGCACCGGCUAACUCCGUGCCAGCAGCCGCGGUAAUACGGAGGGUGCGAGCGUUAAUCGGAAUUACUGGGCGUAAAGCGCGCGUAGGUGGCUUGAUAAGCCGGUUGUGAAAGCCCCGGGCUCAACCUGGGAACGGCAUCCGGAACUGUCAAGCUAGAGUGCAGGAGAGGAAGGUAGAAUUCCCGGUGUAGCGGUGAAAUGCGUAGAGAUCGGGAGGAAUGCCAGUGGCGAAGGCGGCCUUCUGGACUGACACUGACACUGAGGUGCGAAAGCGUGGGUAGCAAACAGGAUUAGAUACCCGAGUAGUC